UGCCAGUGAUAAACUGGAGGAAGGUGGGGAUGACGUCAAGUCAUCAUGGCCCUUACGACCAGGGCUACACACGUGCUACAAUGGCGCAUACAAAGAGAAGCGACCUCGCGAGAGCAAGCGGACCUCAUAAAGUGCGUCGUAGUCCGGAUUGGAGUCUGCAACUCGACUCCAUGAAGUCGGAAUCGCUAGUAAUCGUGGAUCAGAAUGCCACGGUGAAUACGUUCCCGGGCCUUGUACACACCGCCCGUCACACCAUGGGAGUGGGUUGCAAAAGAAGUAGGUAGCUUAACCUUCGGGAGGGCGCUUACCACUUUGUGAUUCAUGACUGGGGUGAAGUCGUAACA
rnacentral:rRNA from 1 species